CACAAGUCGACCAGGGCGCUGGUGAAGGGGUCCACACACAGGCAGGAUGAGCUGGCUUUCGCGGUCCUGUUCCCUCUGGGUUGUUCCGUUGCUUUCCCAUCUUUCCACUUUGAGAAAUCGGUGGGCAGAAGCUUAAAGGUCAAAGUGCAGCCAGGAGGUGGUGGUGCGGUCCAGUCUAGUCAUCAUUCCUCGCGAUCCCUUGGAUUAUCUACCAGCCUGGAGUCCCUGGGGGAAGCUACGCUGUGAAGAUACUGCUAUGAACCAUCACCCUGGGGAGUCUGCAGGGAACCUCACACCCAUAAUUAUGUUCUAUUGAGAGAACCUGCCUCAUACCCAAUUAACUGCUAAUCUGUUAGCAGAACCGCCUCACAUUCCAGCUAUCCAGGGAACCAGGUGUGGCAACUUGUGACUUCUUGGUCUACCUGUCCGAAUGUAACCUCUUGGCCUACGUGAUGAACCUGGCCUACUUGACCGGGACCACGCGGCGAGAUCCCGUGCCCUGCCCACCAAGUCCUCAUGCAGGGCCU